AACAAGGCGUACCUGCGGACCUGCGGAAGGAUCAUUACAGAGUUGCAAAACUCCCUAAACCAUUGUGAACGUUACCUAAACCGUUGCUUCGGCGGGCGGCCCGGGUCCUUCCCGGCGCCCAUCGGCCCUCGCGGGCGCCCGCCGGAGGUAAACCAAACUAUUGCAUUGUAUGGCCUCUCUGAGUCUUCUGUACUGAAUAAGUCAAAACUUUUAACAAUGGAUCUCAGAUCGGAAGAGCAC
rnacentral:misc_RNA from 1 species